UGGGGAAUAUUGGACAAUGGGCGAAAGCCUGAUCCAGCCAUGCCGCGUGUGUGAAGAAGGUCUUCGGAUUGUAAAGCACUUUAAGUUGGGAGGAAGGGCAGUAAGCGAAUACCUUGCUGUUUUGACGUUACCGACAGAAUAAGCACCGGCUAACUCUGUGCCAGCAGCCGCGGUAAUACAGAGGGUGCAAGCGUUAAUCGGAAUUACUGGGCGUAAAGCGCGCGUAGGUGGUUCGUUAAGUUGAAUGUGAAAGCCCCGGGCUCAACCUGGGAACUGCAUCCAAAACUGGCGAGCUAGAGUAGGGCAGAGGGUGGUGGAAUUUCCUGUGUAGCGGUGAAAUGCGUAGAUAUAGGAAGGAACACCAGUGGCGAAGGCGACCACCUGGGCUCAUACUGACACUGAGGUGCGAAAGCGUGUGGAGCAAACAGG
rnacentral:rRNA from 1 species